rnacentral:rRNA from 1 species
GACGAACGCUGGCGGCGUGCUUAACACAUGCAAGUCGAACGGAGUGGCGAACGGGUGAGUAACACGUGGGUGACCUGCCCUGCACUUCGGGAUAAGCCUGUGAAACUGGGUCUAAUACCGGAUAGUGUGGGAUGGGCCCGCGGCCUAUCAGCUUGUUGGUGGGGUAAUGGCCUACCAAGGCGGCGACGGGUAGCCGGCCUGGGAGGGUGGACGGCCACAAUGGGGCUGAGAGAGGGCCCAGACGAAUACGGGAGGCAGCAGUGGGGAAUAUUGCACAAGGGGGGGAAGGCUGAUGCAGCGAAGCGGCGUGGGGGAUGACGGGCGUCGGGGAGGAAAAUACUUUCACCAUCGACGCGGAAGAUGGGGAAGAAGCACAGGCUAACUACGUGCCAGCAGCCGCGGUAAUUC